rnacentral:rRNA from 1 species
GAUGAACGCUAGCGGCAGGCCUAAUACAUGCAAGUCGUACGGCAACACAGUUGCGAGCAAUCGCAACCGGUGGCGAGUGGCGCACGGGUGAGUAACGCGUAUGUAACCUACCCUUCUCCGGGACAUAACUCCGCGAAAGCGGUGCUAAUAUCCCAUACCAACUCAUCAAGACAUCUUCUUGAGUUGAAAGCAGCAAUGCGGUGAAGGAUGGGCAUGCGUCCCAUUAGCUGGUUGGUGAGGUAAUGGCCCACCAAGGCUACGAUGGGUAGGGGUUCUGGAGAGGAAAGCCCCCCCAACUGGUACUGAGACACGGACCAGACUCCUACGGGAGCAGCAGUAAGGAAUAUUGGGCAAUGGUCGAAAGACUGACCCAGCCAUGCCGCGUGCAGGAUGAAGGCCCUAUGGUGUAAAGCACUUUUUGAGUAGGAUGAGGAAGGACGGGUACUCUCAGAAUAAGUCUCGGCUAACUACGUGCCAGCAGCCG